rnacentral:misc_RNA from 1 species
UGAAUUUAAAGAGUUUUAGCUUUGUACUUAGCUGCCUUGGUGUUGAGGUCCCCUUGUGCAAUAUUUGCUCAGAACAAGUAUCUGCCAUGGGGCAAUAUUUGUGGUCAAUCAGUCGCAGGAUAGGCUUUAAAAUGGUGCCUUCUUUGUGCUGCUUGUGAUUCUAUGUAUUCUGUCAGCAUGAUUGGAACUUAUUAUAUGAGGACUUGUAGUAUACAUUGAGGGGCGAUUUAUUUUUUCUGGUUAAUUGGCCAUUGUUCUAGAAUUGUGAGUAAGAUUUUACGUGUCCAAUAAUAUUUUUUCUCAAG